UCCCUGGAAGUCCAGUGGUGAAGAUUUUACACUUCCAAUGCAGGGGAUGCAGGUUCAAUUCCUGGUCAGGGAA
rnacentral:tRNA from 1 species